UGAAUGUCCUGCCUCAAAAGUUGCUAUCAUA
rnacentral:piRNA from 1 species